CCUACGUGAGGCAGCAGUGGGGAAUAUUGGGCAAUGGGCGAAAGCCUGACCCAGCAAUGCCGCGUGAAUGAAGAAGGUCUUAGGAUUGUAAAAUCCUGUUCUAUGGGAAGAAAAAAAUGACGGUACCAUAGGAGGAAGCCCCGGCCAACUACGUGCCAGCAGCCGCGGUAAUACGUAGGGGGAAAGUGUUGUCCGGAAUUACUGGGCGUAAAGAGAGCGUAGGCGGCACUACAAGUCUCAUGUGAAAUACCCGGGCUUAACUUGAGAGUUGCAUGGGAAACUGUAGAGCUUGAGUGCGGGAGAGGCAGGCGGAAUUCCUGGUGUAGCGGUGAAAUGCAUAGAUAUUAAGAGGAACACCAGUGGCGAAGGCGACUUGCUGGACUGAAACUGACGCUGAGGCUCGAAAGCGUGGGGAGCAAACAGGAUUAGAUACCCUUGUAGUC
rnacentral:rRNA from 1 species